UACGUAGGGUGCGAGCGUUGUCCGGAAUUAUUGGGCGUAAAGAGCUUGUAGGCGGUUUGUCGCGUCUGCUGUGAAAUCUCAAGGCUCAACCUUGAGCUUGCAGUGGGUACGGGCAGACUAGAGUGUGGUAGGGGAGACUGGAAUUCCUGGUGUAGCGGUGAAAUGCGCAGAUAUCAGGAGGAACACCGGUGGCGAAGGCGGAUCUCUGGGCCUUACCUGACGCUGAGGCGCGAAAGCUAGGGGAGCGAACAGG
rnacentral:rRNA from 1 species